CUCAAGGAUGGAUCUGCGGCCUAUCAGGUAGUAGUGGGUGUAGCGUACCUACUAGCUUACGACGGGUACGGGUUGUGAGAGCAAGAGCCCGGAGAUGGAUUCUGAGACACGAAUCCAGGCCCUACGGGGUGCAGCAGGCGCGAAAACUUUACAAUGCUGGAAACAGCGAUAAGGGGACCUCGAGUGCCAGGUUACAAAUCUGGCUGUCGUGAUGCCUAAAAAGCAUUGCAUAGCAAGGGCCGGGCAAGACCGGUGCCAGCCGCCGCGGUAACACCGGCGGCUCGAGUGGUAACCGUUAUUAUUGGGUCUAAAGGGUCUGUAGCCGGCCGGAUAAGUCUCUUGGGAAAUCUGGCAGCUUAACUGUCAGGCUUUCAGGAGAUACUGUCUGGCUCGAGGCCGGGAGAGGUGAGAGGUACUUCAGGGGUAGGGGUGAAAUCUUGUAAUCCUUGAAGGACCACCAGUGGCGAAGGCGUCUCACCAGAACGGACCUGACGGCAAGGGACGAAAGCUAGGGGCACGAACCGGAUUAGAUACCCGGGUAGUCCUAGCCGUAAACGAUACUCGCUAGGUGUCGGCAACGGUGCGACCGUUGUCGGUGCCGUAGGGAAGCCGUGAAGCGAGCCACCUGGGAAGUACGGCCGCAGGGCUGAAACUUAAAGGAAUUGGCGGGGGAGCAC
rnacentral:rRNA from 1 species